CAAUAGCGUAUAUUUAAGUUGUUGCAGUUAAAAAGCUCGUAGUUGGAUUUCGGAUGGGAUCUGCCGGUCCGCCUUUGAGGUGUGUACUGGUAGGUCCUAUCUUGUUGUCGGGGACCAGCUCCUGGGCUUCACUGUCCGGGACUGGGAGCCGGCGAAGUUACUUUGAGUAAAUUAGAGUGUUCAAAGCAAGCCUACGCUCUGAAUAUAUUAGCAUGGAAUAACACGAUAGGACUCUGGCUUAUCUUGUUGGUCUGUGAGACCAGAGUAAUGAUUAAGAGGGACAGUCGGGGACAUUCGUAUUUCAUUGUCAGAGGUGAAAUUCUUGGAUUUAUGGAAGACGAACAUCUGCGAAAGCAUUUGCCAAGGAUGUUUUCAUUGA
rnacentral:rRNA from 1 species